rnacentral:rRNA from 1 species
UAGGGAAUCUUCCGCAAUGGGCGAAAGCCUGACGGAGCAACGCCGCGUGAGUGAUGAAGGUCUUCGGAUCGUAAAACUCUGUUAUUAGGGAAGAACAAAUGUGUAAGUAACUAUGCACGUCUUGACGGUACCUAAUCAGAAAGCCACGGCUAACUACGUGCCAGCAGCCGCGGUAAUACGUAGGUGGCAAGCGUUAUCCGGAAUUAUUGGGCGUAAAGCGCGCGUAGGCGGUUUUUUAAGUCAGGGGUGAAAUCCCGGGGCUCAACCCCGGAACUGCCUUUGAUACUGGAAGUCUUGAGUAUGGUAGAGGUGAGUGGAAUUCCGAGUGUAGAGGUGAAAUUCGUAGAUAUUCGGAGGAACACCAGUGGCGAAGGCGGCUCACUGGACCAUUACUGACGCUGAGGUGCGAAAGCGUGGGGAGCAAACAGG